rnacentral:rRNA from 1 species
UUUUUUCUGGGGAGUAGAUUUUUUAAUUAAAAUUCAAUAGAUCUGGCGGUUUUUAAAUCUUUUUAGAGGAACCUGUAAUAUAAAUGAUAAUCCACGAUUAAUUUUACUUUUUUUUU